UAAGGUGAUUAAAAAGAGACCCAAUAUAGCGGGCACCGAAGGUGCAAAUAAGGACUCAGGCAAAGUCUUUAUGAAACUCUCAGGUAAAAGGAUUUAUUCACCGCU
rnacentral:ncRNA from 2 species